rnacentral:misc_RNA from 1 species
AAGUCUAGCCAAUCUGACAGUUUAUAUACAUGUACUUUCUACAAAUAAAGUUUGUCCAAACAUAAACCAUAAACCAGGUAUUUUAUUAGUUAUCCAGGUUCAAUCUUUGGCUUCAUGGUUUAUGGAAUACAAGCACGGGUUAAUCCCGUGCACCAUUGAUUGGACCUGAAUAAUGAAUUUAUUUCCUAUGUAAACUAAAAUCUUUUUCCUAUGUCCAAUCAAGGGUGUUUUACCCUUUCAAGAUUACCAUUAACGCAUUUAACGCUUUGUGACAUCACCUUUAAUGCAUUGUGAUGUCCUGAUAUUUACCUUCGGCUCAAGUACAGUGUAUGAUGCUUAACAACUGGUUUAUUAGCCAAUUAAAUCCUGUGUUACAAGCUUUAUAGGAAAUAAAAUAUCAUAUGAUAGCUAUUGGCCCAAAAAAUGUAAGUUUUGUUUAUAACACUGCAGCAUCUGGUCAAAUUCUAAUGUAUUGGUGUACGGUGAAACACGCUUAUAAAAUGAAGUGCCAUGGACAGGCAAAUUUGCUUCAUUGUAAGUGUAAUUUGUUAUGAUUUUAUGCCUCAAGUUUACAACAUGUCAUAGAGUCACGUGGAAUAAAAAUCACUUUGCUGCAAGUGUCAAUUCAUUUUAAGCGUGUUUAUUAUAACCAUGUUUUACUGUAUUUCUAUAUUUAAAAUGAGAAUAGCUGAUUUUUUUUUAAUGAAAUUGUAGUUAUUUUACUUUUCAGAUCUUGCAAUAAAAUUGAAAAUAGAAUACUUCUCCGCUGCAUUACGUUUUGAAAUGUUUGGCCAGAGAAACUAAAGAUUAAGUUUUCUUGGCCCUAUCAGUAAUCAAAUUAAUUAAAAAGUGGAAUUUGGAAAUGAUUGAAAUCUUGUUUUUCCCAGGGACGCACUUUGGCCCGUGACUCAGAAAUCUCUGAGCGAGACAUGGAACCCCGGGAACUGUUGGUGCCAGAAGUACAUGGGCGAGGAGCUAACGAUGACUGAUGAUAAUACGAGUGUAGUGCCAUUUUUUCUCUGGAGAUCCGAAUCAUUCAUAGAUUUUAUUUCUAAACAUCAGAGAUUAAUUUCAUGUGUAAAAUGUGGCCAAGAUGAACAGUGCUACGAUUAUAAUUUAUGCGUUUCUCUUCAUACAUGAAUCAGAAAGGAUUGAUCCAGCGUUUACCUUUAAAUCUAGAGUCAUCUUGUUUGUCUAAAUACAUGUACAUUGUAAGAAUUGUAUUAUAAGUAAAUGUAUCACAAAUUUGCUUGUUUACUGAUACAAUCUUUGAUUCUUUUUCUACAUCUCCUGUCUGUAUCUCUUCUUCUCAUUGUGAAUCAUGUUUGUAAAGCUGAACAAUUGUUGAAAUACAUUUAAAAAUGG